rnacentral:miRNA from 14 species
GCCAUUGGCAUCAGGCACUGUGGUUCCCGCAUGAAAACAGUGGCUGGUGGGACCUGGACCUACGAUACUACUUCUGCAGUCACAGUGAAGUCUGCC